UGGCAUGAUCCAGUAGUAUUAAGUAUGUCU
rnacentral:piRNA from 1 species